rnacentral:rRNA from 1 species
ACCAGGUUUCCGUAGGUGACCUGCGGAGGAUCAUUA